CGGGUGGCAGCAGUGAGGAAUAUUGGUCAAUGGCCGGAAGGCUGAACCAGCCAAGCCGCGUGAAGGACGAAGGUGCCAAGCAUUGUAAACUUCUUUUGUCAAGGGACAAAAUCAGGCUCGAGAGCCUGACCGAGGGUACUUGAAGAAAAAGCAUCGGCUAACUCCGUGCCAGCAGCCGCGGUAAUACGGAGGAUGCGAGCGUUAUCCGGAUUUAUUGGGUUUAAAGGGUGCGUAGGCGGACUGUUAAGUCCGCGGUAAAAGCCCGGGGCUCAACCCCGGCGAGCCGUUGAAACUGGCGGUCUGGAGAGGGCGAGAGGUAGGCGGAAUGCGCAGUGUAGCGGUGAAAUGCUUAGAUAUUGCGCAGAACUCCGAUUGCGAAGGCAGCAUACCGGCGGCGAUCUGACGCUGAGGCACGAAAGCGUGGGUAUCGAACAGGAUUAGAUACCCUUGUAGUC
rnacentral:rRNA from 1 species